AUUACAGAUGUUACUGUACUGUUACUGUUUAUUUUUAAAAUGGAAAAACUGAGAGUUUAUUGAGAUAUAUAUUGUUGGAAUUGGAAAUAAAGUGUGUUUCAUGUUUAUCACAAUGAUUUUCAUACAGUAUGUUUACACGUUUUAUCAUGAUAUUUUUGUGUAAUUUCCCUUUAAAAAAACAAAAGCCUGUUCAUGACAUCAUCCUCUAGGAAGUAGCAUCGUUUUGGAGGGAAAACAACAGCAGAAACAAUAGUCAAAAUAUCGUAGCAAUAACGAUUUUUCAGUUGGUGAGUUGAAGGAGCGAGAAAGAUGGCUUUUCGAAGACAAUUCUUCAUUUUUAUCUCAUAUGGAGAGCAGAUGGCAGGCCUGCAUCAGUGCAGGAGGCUUUCUGGGAUGACAGCCAUGAGAUUCCCCCUCAGGUGCCAUUGGAGCCCUCAUGAGCCGGGAGUGUGAUGGUUGGGACAUGGCACCUCCUCGUGAAAGAAUGGCUCUCUGUUCGCCUCCCUUUCUCACUUCGUAAUGUCUACUUCUUUGUGUGUGGGUAUGAAAACACAUCCUUGAAUUUGAGUUUAAGGGGACAUCCUAAAGACUUCUUCACUGCAGUCAAACCUCUCUUCUUGAAGUUCUUGAUGAUCCAGUAA
ensembl:lncRNA